UGAAAUCAAAAGAUCCUUUCACCAUUAACGAUUCCUCCUUAGAAAAUUUAGGCAAUCGUUUCCCCACACGAGCAACCAUAUCAGCUGGAUACGUACCAGACUUCAGUGGUUCCAUAAACCAAUCAUAUUGGAAAGCAAUGGCUCGGGAUGCUGCACUAAAGUCUCUACUUGAGUUAGUCAAGGGUAAAAUCCAUUGACAACUUAGAGUAAUUCCAAUUUGACCCAUUUGAGACAUCUGG
rnacentral:misc_RNA from 1 species